CCGAAUCUCAAGAUCGCUAUGAUCAAUGGGGCCAGUGGAAAGGAACGGUUACUUUCGAAGAUCAAGAUGAAAAGGAAAUGUUGCUAUGGGGAUUAAAAACUAGACAGAGCAGCUCAUUGGACCAGACCCGUUAUGAUCGUUACUUACACACAUAUGGUCAUAUGAAGGACGGUAUGACAUUCAACAUCAG